rnacentral:rRNA from 1 species
UGAGGAAUAUUGGUCAAUGGACGCAAGUCUGAACCAGCCAUGCCGCGUGAAGGAUGAAGGCCUUCUGGGUUGUAAACUUCUUUUAUCUGGGAAGAAAAUUACGGUUUCUACUGUAACCGACGGUACCAGAGGAAUAAGCACCGGCUAACUCCGUGCCAGCAGCCGCGGUAAUACGGAGGGUGCAAGCGUUAUCCGGAUUUACUGGGUUUAAAGGGUGUGUAGGCGGGCUAUUAAGUCAGUGGUGAAAUCUCCGAGCUUAACUUGGAAACUGCCAUUGAUACUAUUAGUCUUGAAUUCUGUUGAGGUUGGCGGAAUAUGUCAUGUAGCGGUGAAAUGCAUAGAUAUGACAUAGAACUCCGAUUGCGAAGGCAGCUAACUAAGCAGAUAUUGACGCUGAGGC